rnacentral:misc_RNA from 1 species
CCGUCAUGAAAUUUUGUCCAAUGAUAUUCCCAUUUUCACUUUUGACAAUACCAAGACAAUAUACACGUGCUUUAUCCGGAAGACUAAGUAGUACUAUCGGGUCAGUGACAUUAAAUUGGCUUCCACCUUCCAUAACUAGAUUUAGAAUUGGAACCUCCAGAUCGUCUUGAUAUGAGCUUAUCUCAUAACAAUAUUUAAAGGGUAAACCAUAACCAAAUGAAUAGGGCUUGUCUUUUGUCUGGUUAUUGAAACUCUCAGAUAUAAAGGAAUACGCUGGUUCAUUUAGGUAUGUAAAUGAGGCACCAGAUUCGAAAAUUGCAGUGAAUUCAAGAUCAGAAUCAUACCUACCCACAUUUACUUUAGUGAUGCUGAUGUUAUAAGUUGGGUUUGACUGCAUCAGAUUGAAAGGUGUAUGUUCUUGGUAUGAGUUUCCCGUAUCUCCAAAACUGAUUCUCCCAAUUCCAUCGGGU